rnacentral:rRNA from 1 species
AACGAACGCUGGCGGCAGGCCUAACACAUGCAAGUCGAGCGCCCAGCAAUGGGAGCGGCAGACGGGUGAGUAACGCGUGGGAACCUUCCCAAUGGUACGGAAUAGCUCAGGGAAACUUGAGGUAAUACCGCAUAAGCCCGAAAGGGGAAGAUUUAUCGCCAUUGGAUGGGCCCGCGUAGGAUUAGCUAGUUGGUGAGGUAAUGGCUCACCAAGGCGAUGAUCCUUAGCUAGUGAGAGAAUGACCAGCCACACUGGGACUGAGACACGGCCCAGACUCCUACGGGAGGCAGCAGUGGGGAAUCUUGGACAAUGGGCGAAAGCCUGAUCCAGCCAUGCCGCGUGAGUGACGAAGGUCUUCGGAUUGUAAAGCUCUUUUCGCCAGGGACGAUAAUGACGGUACCUGGAGAAUAAGCCCCGGCUAACUUCGUGCCAGCCGCCGCCGUAAU